rnacentral:rRNA from 1 species
GACGAACGCUGGCGGCGUGCUUAACACAUGCAAGUCGAACGGAAAGGCCCUGCUUUUGUGGGGUGCUCGAGUGGCGAACGGGUGAGUAACACGUGAGUAACCUGCCCUUGACUUUGGGAUAACUUCAGGAAACUGGGGCUAAUACCGGAUAGGAGCUCCUGCUGCAUGGUGGGGGUUGGAAAGUUUCGGCGGUUGGGGAUGGACUCGCGGCUUAUCAGCUUGUUGGUGGGGUAGUGGCUUACCAAGGCUUUGACGGGUAGCCGGCCUGAGAGGGUGACCGGACACAUUGGGACUGAGAUACGGCCCAGACUCAUACGGGAGGCAGCAGUGGGGAAUAUUGCACAAUGGGCGGAAGCCUGAUGCAGCACCGCCGCGUGCGGGAUGACGGCCUUCGGGUUGUAAACCGCUUUCGCCUGUGACGAAGCGUGAGUGACGGUAAUGGGUAAAGAAGCACCGGCUAACUACGUG